GUGAUUGGUCUCACUCCUGCAACACAUACACCAAUGCUGGAACAUUACAGAAAAAAUUAGCAUAGCCCCUGUGCAAAGGAGACUCACGAAUUUGUAAAGUUGCCAUAUUUUUU
ensembl:snRNA U6 U6 spliceosomal RNA